rnacentral:ncRNA from 2 species
UAACGUUCUCAGGGCGGGGUGAAAUUCCCCACCGGCGGUAAUCGGGCGCAAGGCCCGUAGAGCCCGCGAGCGCCGCGCCGCAAGGCACGGGUCAGCAGAUUCGGUGAGAUUCCGAAGCCGACGGUCACAGUCCGGAUGAAAGAGAACGGGU